ACAUUAAGAAGUGCCUCUAACAACAUGUAUUCUUAUCGAGGUAAUUGGGUCCACUUAUUGCGAUACUGAUUUUUAUUGAUAUCGCCUGGCUCUAUGUUCAUUUACGUUGUGUUAAUUUUUAGUCACAUCAGUUUGAGUGUUGUUUUGGUAUAGAGUAUUUCCAUAUUAAACCUGUUAUCUGUAUCAUAGUCAAAAUUUUUGUAUUGUGCCAAAACUAAUUGCACCUUGUAGGUUAGAGUAGCUUUGCUGGUGGAUGAGGCCGACAGUAGGAUCUUUAGAAAAACCCUACUGUACCUGUUGCACACCAAACGGUGGGGUUAGUAAUAUGGAGAGACAGCAUGCUUGUGUCCACAAGAUAAUGUUUCUAAAAUGUUUCUUGGGCUUGAGGUAUGAUGGUAAAAAGGUGACAUCAAUUUAGCAAAUUUGUAAUUAGUUUUGUAGUUGUAAAAAACGAUUUGCGUACUUCUGAAAAAGAUUUGCAAAUGUGUAAUUCAUUUUGUAGUUGUAAGAACUGUUUGCAUGCUUAUAACUAGCUUAAUGUUUGAAAUCAUCUAACUCAUUAAUUAGACUACACAUGCACAUUUUUGUCAGUCAAAUUUCUCUAGACAUGUGACAAAACGAUUCAUACUUGUAAAUCACAAUCUGCUGUUCUAUGUUUUACAGCGUUUACAAGCAGAGAUACCCAUGAGGACUCUGAUUUGCUUUUUCUGACCAAUAAACUGAAUGCAUCUUUUAAGCAUCUUUAACCAAUCUGAGUAGCAUGAAAUAAAUUUGAUGAAGUUAAAUCAUGGCAGCUGGCUUAACCUACACCCUACCAGUUUGUUUACAGGCAAACCAGCCAAUUUUGUUUUUAGAGCAACUCCGCUCCCCUCUAAUAACUACGUAAUGGAUUUCCAAACAAGUUUUGGCCAAAAAAAAGACAACAGGAUGUUUUGAGUGACUUCUCAUUAAUUUGCAGCUUUCAUCUUUGUAACUAAUUAAUGAUAUAACACUGCCAGUUGUAGACAAUUAAAUAGUCUGUCUGUAGCCCCGUUCUGUCUGUUGGUAAGAUAAGGGAGCAACAUGUUCUAGGGUACAGGUCCUUUCUGAGAGAGGGAAACGUGGCCCAGUAUGAGAGGGAGUAGACACUGCAUAGCCAGCACUGAGCCAUAUAUCUUUAUGGCUGUAGCUUCAGAAAAUAUUUGGCCAACGUCCCCUCUCACCCCUCCGGAAAACUCUCUUGAUAAAGCCAGGGAUCAGGGUCCGGAUUGCUUUCUGGAUAAUGGUAUGCACAUUCUAUUUCUUUAUAACAUAUCUGCUACAUUCACCCCUCCCCCCUUCCUUCACAUUUCACUCUUUUACCCGCCCCUUCAACCAUGAGCCUGUUUCUCUCCCUCUUAUAUCUGAACUGCUGAGGUAAUAACCCGGCGUCCAUUUGAACAAACAUGCCAAAAUACUCUGUAUUCUGAACGCGUUUCAUAUGUUGUGAUAGUAAAUACAGUUUAGCAGGAUACGUUGCCUGCACAUUGAAAUAAAUCAAGAACGGCAUUGUGUGUGAAAUUCUUGCAGACUUAUAGCUGCAGCAAUAUCUUCUUUUCGAAAAAGAACCUUAGGCCUGCUGUGUUGACUUCCUGUUCAUCUCCUGCUUUGUCAAUGUUUGCAAUCAUUUAUUGCGAUCAUUUUUUUUUAUUCCACCUAUAGGCACCUCAAUGAUCCAGACAGCCAAGCAUGUAUCCAGACGAGUUAAGAGUCUAAUGAUGGGAAGGUUUAUUUUGCGUUGUCUAGUGACAUAGUCAUGCUGCUACCUUAUACCCAGGUGAGAGUCGAUAGAGUAAAUAGCUGCAUGUAACUCAGAAGAUCUACAAGAUAACUAAAUGAUACAAAUAAUAAUGUUAAUAAUAUGGUUUGUUUUACAAAAGUGUCAAUAAUAUCGGCUGUGUGAUAAUUGUAAUUGACUGCAUGAAAGUAUUUUUUUGUAGAAUGUUUACUUCCCUAUUGACUGCAUUCAGAGACUUUACAGCCACAUUGUGCUGACUGGAAAUAGUUUAGCUUGUUUAUGUUUAUUCUUCAGAAUUUAUAAUUGUGAAGAAAAAGUUUUAGCCGAUUCAGCCUCCUCUCCUGAGAUUAGAAGGACAUGAAAUUACGCAUAUGCUGUAUAGCCCAUUGCCAUGGAAUGCAAUCGUUUGAACAGGCCUUUUCUACACGUGUAAUGUGGAGGCUACACCAGUGUCCAGGGAAAUGUGGAGGCUACACCAGUGUCCAGGGAAAUGUGGAGGCUACACCAGUGUCCAGGGAAAUGUGGAGGCUACACCAGUGUCCAGGGAAAUGUGGAGGCUACACCAGUGUCCAGGGAAAUGUGGAGGCUACACCAGUGUCCAGGGAAAUGUGGAGGCUACACCAGUGUCCAGGGAAAUGUGGAGGCUACACCAGUGUCCAGGGAAAUGUGGAGGCUACACCAGUGUCCAGGGAAAUGUGGAGGCUACACCAGUGUCCAGGGAAAUGUGGAGGCUACACCAGUGUCCAGGGAAAUGUGGAGGCUACACCAGUGUCCAGGGAAAUGUGGAGGCUACACCAGUGUCCAGGGAAAUGUGGAGGCUACACCAGUGUCCAGGGAAAUGUGGAGGCUACACCAGUGUCCAGGGAAAUGUGGAGGCUACACCAGUGUCAACGGGAAAUGUGGAGGCUACACCAGUGUCAACGGGAAAUGUGGAGGCUACACCAGUGUCAACGGGAAAUGUGGAGGCUACACCAGUGUCAACGGGAAAUGUGGAGGCUACACCAGUGUCAACGGGAAAUGUGGAGGCUACACCAGUGUCCAGGGAAAUGUGGAGGCUACACCAGUGUCCAGGGAAAUGUGGAGGCUACACCAGUGUCCAGGGAAAUGUGGAGGCUACACCAGUGUCCAGGGAAAUGUGGAGGCUACACCAGUGUCCAGGGAAAUGUGGAGGCUACACCAGUGUCCAGGGAAAUGUGGAGGCUACACCAGUGUCCAGGGAAAUGUGGAGGCUACACCAGUGUCCAGGGAAAUGUGGAGGCUACACCAGUGUCCAGGGAAAUGUGGAGGCUACACCAGUGUCCAGGGAAAUGUGGAGGCUACACCAGUGUCCAGGGAAAUGUGGAGGCUACACCAGUGUCCAGGGAAAUGUGGAGGCUACACCAGUGUCCAGGGAAAUGUGGAGGCUACACCAGUGUCAACGGGAAAUGUGGAGGCUACACCAGUGUCAACGGGAAAUGUGGAGGCUACACCAGUGUCAACGGGAAAUGUGGAGGCUACACCAGUGUCAACGGGAAAUGUGGAGGCUACACCAGUGUCAACGGGAAAUGUGGAGGCUACACCAGUGUCCAGGGAAAUGUGGAGGCUACACCAGUGUCCAGGGAAAUGUGGAGGCUACACCAGUGUCCAGGGAAAUGUGGAGGCUACACCAGUGUCCAGGGAAAUGUGGAGGCUACACCAGUGUCAACGGGGUGGGCGGCCGCUGUACGGGAUUAGAACAGUGAACAACUCCCUUUGCUUCAUACCCGUUUGUCUGUGUAGCAGCUAAUGUUGAAUGUAUGCAGGGAGGACGUGAUAAACUACAUUUACCAUGAUGGUUCUGUCGUAUGCAUGGCUGAAUGUUGUCUUAUGAUCUGCACAGCCGCUUACCUCAACCUUGAGUGUGCAGUUGCUUUUCUGCAAGGGCUUACCAACAUUGUAUUUAAACAAUGGGUGACAUGUCAUUUAGCGUGUUAUUUCCAUACACAUAUUCGUGCCAUUUCAUCCUUCCGCACGGAAAUACCUCGGACACAAAUCCAGCAUUGCUACCCGAGCCAGCUGGUCGUUUGUUCGAUUUGCACUCUUUAUUGUUCAAACCGACUGGUGGUUCAUUUGUUUAAUUUGAGUUGCUGUGGGCAGUGGGCUGUCAGCCAGGCUCUGUGACGAUAGUGCUGUCUGUGGUUGUACGUUCAGAACAUAGAAAGGUGGACGCGUAGAUGCUUUCUGCACCGGAGAUCAGUUUAUGAAUUGCUGCAGCUUUGCUGAUGGUGCUGAAAACUAAGCAAGCUCCCUGUUUCGAGUCCUCUGAUGGUAAGCACUUUUUAUCGCAGCUCAGAACACUCUUUCAACCAAUCACAAUGCUUAAUUUGGCCAAACCGUUGUAGAAAUCCCUGUUAUCAGCCAAUGAACUCCCAGUACCUAUCUCCAUUGGUUUUACUGCCUGUCCCUGAGCAUAGUGAGACAAACUGAGUAUUUAACUGGGUCAAGGCCUUCUGAAGCAUCUCUGGAUCAUGCUUACCCCUGUCAUAUUCCUCUCACACACACACAAACAGAGACAUUGUUCUUAGUAAUGUUAUACAGCUUUUUAAUAUAAUAGCAGGAAAUAUGCCAUUCAGCUUUGCACAAUGUUGUCGGCACGUGUUUUAUAUAUGUGUGGACCCCAGGAUGAGCCUUGGCUGUAGCCAAUGGGAAUCCUGUUAAAUCCUACCUCUACUAAGGGAAGCAGCGCUCCAAUGAGAGCAAGAAUGUGCACAAACAUACCCCGCAGAGUGCAAGUAGAGCAGCAUGUUUCCACCCAACACAUUUUGACCAACAUCCUGAGAAUCACAAAGAGCAAUUUGUCACUGUAAAACUGAUCAGCUUGCUAGCAGUAAAUGGAGUACGGUGCUGUGGCAUAAUGCCUGGUCAAGUGUAUGACCUCAUUACAGAGACACUUCCUACAGAUCAAAACAUUUUGAAAACAAAUCAAGCAGUAAACUCCCAUAUCUGUUAGGCGAAAAACCACAACAUGCCAUCGCAGCAGCAAGAUGAGGCCCGUUGCCAUGAGGAAAGGGCAAGCAGUGGAGCAUAAAUAACAUUGUAAACAUAGCUAAUAUUUCAUUUUUUUCUUUUUUGUGAUGAAGUAUUUGCAUAUAGUUUCAAUCCCAUGCACAGUUUAUAAUGAAACAUUCAAAAUGCCUGUAUACUUUUAAAACUUUUGAUCUGUAAUGUUUACUUCAAAUUUCAGAUUGAUUUUAUCUACUUAUAAUUGAAAUCUUCUUAUUUUCCACCUUGCAAUGCCUGUUUGUCAUGCCGACAAAGCUCGUCCAGUUGAAUUGCAUGGAGAAGCCGAACACAACCCAGCUGUCUCAUCCCUCUGGAAGCUACGCUCCCCACGCUGAUUAAACAUUCAUAUUCGCGCUGGAUACGUAUCCACAGUGAUCAACGCCGGCCUCCCGGGCUGUCCAAGCUCCGGUGCCUGUCUCACCCCAACUUCACAGUCUUAAGUCUGGCUCAAAUACUCCCACUCAACAAGCUGUGCAUUGGGCCUCUGGCAAAUGUGUGUGGGUUAUUAAAAAAAUUUCUCUGUGUGUUUUUAAGGCAGACCAUUUUGAAACAUUUUUCAGGUCUUAAGUGUGACAUAGUGUGUUCGUGUGUGAGAGAAAAAGAGAGCGUGCCCUGUCUCCUUUCAUGUUAUUUUUUUGUCUGUUGUUUUUUUGGCCUCUGCUGGUUCAAGAGUGCCGUCUGUGAUGUCAGAGGUCGUAACCACAGGCCCUACAGCUGCAGCGAUGUGUGAAACUCAGAGAAUGUUCACAAGUGCUAACGAAGCCUCUCUCUCCCUCCCAA